rnacentral:lncRNA from 1 species
CGUGUUCCUGCAGGGUCCUAGCACAAUGCAGAGAGGACCAGUACUCCUGGCAAGACGGUGGUCCAGAGGUAGCGAGUGACAUGAUUGCUUAAGCCUGUCAGAGGUUCACACUUGAACAAGGCUUAGGUUCCAAUACCUGACAGAUAACGAAGGAUCAGAUUAAGUCAGCUGGUAUCCAACGGAAUCCAGUGGUGUUUGUUGAGCUCUUUGGGUGGAGCUGUGUGCAGCAGGACCUCCCUAGUGGUGCCCAGAGGAAAUCAGCAUGGAACAUUCUGCUGCCCGUGCAGCUAGGUGAGAGCUUGAGGAGGAAGAUCAGACUGGGCCUUCCAGAAAUAAGAAAUCAAGCUUUCUGGCCACAUGUGAAGGCGGAAUGAGUAAAUAAGGAGCCAGAGCAGGUA